AGUGAAUAGAUACCCGGGUAGUCCUAGCUGUAAACGGUGCACGUUUGGUGUGGGAGGCAACCCCUCCUGUGCCGAAACGACUAAACGACGAUAAGCGUGCCGCCUGGGUAGUACGGUCGCAAGACUAAACUACAAGAAAUUAGACGGGGACCCGGCACAAGCGGUGGAGUAUGUAGCUUAAUUACGAUGCAACGCGAAGAACCUUACCAGGGCGUUGACAUGUAUUGUAACCCCGGGUCGAAAGCCGGGCAGCGUAGAAAUACGCGCUUUACACAGGUGCUGCAUGGCUGUCGUCAGCUCGUGUCGUGGAGAUUGGUUAGGUUACCG
rnacentral:rRNA from 1 species